GAUGAACGCUGGCGGCGUGCCUAAUACAUGCAAGUAGAACGCUGAAGGAGGAGCUUGCUCUUCUGGAUGAGUUGCGAACGGGUGAGUAACGCGUAGGUAACCUGCCUGGUAGCGGGGGAUAACUAUUGGAAACGAUAGCUAAUACCGCAUGACAACAGUUAUUGCAUGAUAACUGUUUAAAAGGGGCAACUGCUCCACUACCAGAUGGAACUGCGUUGUAUUUGCUAGUUGGUGAGGUAACGGCUCACCAAGGCGACGAUACAUAGCCGACCUGAGAGGGUGAUCGGCCACACUGGGACUGAGACACGGCCCAGACUCCUACGGGAGGCAGCAGUAGGGAAUCUUCGGCAAUGGACGGAAGUCUGACCGAGCAACGCCGCGUGAGUGAAGAAGGUUUUCGGAUCGUAAAGCUCUGUUGUAAGAGAAGAACGAGUGUGAGAGUGGAAAGUUCACACUGUGACGGUAUCUUACCAGAAAGGGACGGCUAACUACGUG
rnacentral:rRNA from 1 species